GAUUCAUAUUUGAUUCAUAUUUUUUGUGUUUCUCAUAUAAACUUCACCCUAGUAAACUGUAAAAGCUAAUAUUUAGCUGAUGCUAAUAUUGAAGCAUAGAGAUAUGUAAUAAAAAAAUUAACUAUCUCUGUGUCCACUCUGAUUAGGUCUUGAACGGACCAACAAACUCCUGACACUGCUGCAAGUCCUGUACUGCAAGGCGACGGUGGCAGCGGCAAGGAAGGCCCCAAACACCUGGAAGAAGACAUAGAAGGGCAGAGUCCUCCAAGGGUGCCUUCCCAGCAUGCACAGGCUGAGGGUGACUGCGGGGUUCAGUUUUAGGGUCAAAGUCUCCUCCAGCUUUCCCGUCUAAGUCAACCCACAGAAGCUCCCCGUAAGAGACUAUUUGGGACCUUAAGAGAACUGCGGCCAGCGAAAAGGGUAAAUCAGGGAGGAAGCACAUGACUCGAGUGAUGCAUGGACUGCUGGGAUCAUAACACAUAUGAACAGGGGAUGAAAAAGAGGACAGAAGAAAGAAGGAGCGAAGGAGAGAGGAA